AUUGAACGCUGGCGGCAGGCCUAACACAUGCAAGUCGAGCGGCGCGGCGGCCGGGUGAGUAAUGCCUAGGAAUCUGCCUGGUCGUGGUGGCUAACGUCCGGAAACGGGCGCUAAUACCGCAUCCUAUCAGAUGAGCCUCGGUCGGAUUAGCUAGUUGGUGGGGUAAAGGCCUACCAAGGCCACGAUCCGUAACUGGUCUGAGAGGAUGAUCAGUCACACUGGAACUGAGACACGGUCCAGACUCCUACGGGAGGCAGCAGUGGGGAAUAUUGGACAAUGGGCGAAAGCCUGAGCCAGCCAUGCCGCGUGUGUGAAGAAGGUCUUCGGGUUGUAAAGCACUUUAAGUUGGGAGGCGUUACCAACAGAAUAAGCACCGGCUAACUUCGUGCCAGCCGCCGCGGUAAUUC
rnacentral:rRNA from 1 species